rnacentral:rRNA from 1 species
CCUGAUGACCAUAGCGAGUUGGUCCCACUCCUUCCCAUCCCGAACAGGACAGUGAAACGACUCAGCGCCGAUGAUAGUGCGGGUUCCCGUGUGAAAGUAGGUCAUCGUCAGGCUCUUACAGCCCCAAAAACCCCCGCUCAAACUGAGCGGGGGUUUUUGCUUUUACGGGCAGCAAAAAAAGAAAACGAACAGGCGCAUCACCGGUUGCGCACAACCUCCGCGUCCACUUCGGCACCUCCCGCAGCUACCAACUCCUCCAACAUAUCUC